rnacentral:rRNA from 1 species
AUUGAACGCUGGCGGCAGGCCUAACACAUGCAAGUCGAGCGGAUGAAGAGAGCUUGCUCUCUGAUUCAGCGGCGGACGGGUGAGUAAUGCCUAGGAAUCUGCCUGGUAGUGGGGGACAACGUUUCGAAAGGACGCUAAUACCGCAAUACGUCCUACGGGAGAAAGCAGGGGACCUUCGGGCCUUGCGCUAUCAGAUGAGCCUAGGUCGGAUUAGCUAGUUGGUGAGGUAAUGGCUCACCAAGGCGACGAUCCGUAACUGGUCUGAGAGGAUGAUCAGUCACACUGGAACUGAGACA